rnacentral:rRNA from 1 species
GUGCAAGCGUUAAUCGGAAUUACUGGGCGUAAAGCGUGCGCAGGCGGUGAUGUAAGACAGAUGGGAAAUCCCCGGGCUCAACCUGGGAACUGCAUUUGUGACUGCAUCGCUGGAGUGCGGCAGAGGGGGAUGGAAUUCCGCGUGUAGCAGUGAAAUGCGUAGAUAUGCGGAGGAACACCGAUGGCGAAGGCAAUCCCCUGGGCCUGCACUGACGCUCAUGCACGAAAGCGUGGGGAGCAAACAGG